AAACGCUUUGUUUACAUUUUGAACUCAGUGCUACAGUUGUAAAAUAUGAUUAGAUAUAUAUUAUACUGAAUUUUUAACACUCUCUCGGUUCGCUAUGCUUGUAAAUGAAUGCAGACUAGAGAUUCAAUUCAAGAAAGUUCGGAAGGUGCGAAAUAUUAACAACAUUCCAAAGGUUGCUCCCCCAAACACCGCGGAAAAACGUCUGCGCAUGCACCAAAUUAUGAAAAUAUGGCGGGGAAUUUGAAUAUCAAUUUCUAAAACAAAAACAUGCUUAUUAAUUGGUCAAAAAUUAGUAAAACAAACGAGAAAAUAUAGCAAAUGGGCAGACUAGAC
rnacentral:lncRNA from 1 species